GUGGGGCGGCCGCCCUCGGGCUGGCGGAGGCGCCGGAGGAGCCCCCGAGCUGCAGCCGUCUCCCUCGGGCUGCUGCCGGUGCUGCGGGCGGAGGCGGCUCCGCCGCGUGUUGGGCGCUGCGAGCAGGGAGCGCUGCGGUAUCGCCGGCAUGACGGGGCUGCUGCCUGCGUUAGUGCUCGUGGCUCUUUUUGCCAUGAAAACGGAGGGUUUACUGAGCGGUAGAGCCAGAGAUGGCCGGGAGAAUGCCCAGCGCAGGGAGCGGGCGGGCUGUAUGCUUGGGAUGGCACAGGUGCGAUCUGCAAAGUCACCCCCCCUUCCGCCCCUGCCCUCCCGAGCCCCAGGGAAAAUGCUUUCCAGCAUUGUCGAGCUUCUGAAAGACAAAACUUGUGAUUUGACACUUGCAUCCAGAAAAGGUUUCUGUCUAGAUUAGCAAAUGCCUAAAUUGUUCUUGGUUACAUCCCAUGACCGGUUUUAGGCAGCGACUUUAUAAUGCUUUUAGGAUUUUCUUGUACAAUGGUGAGAAAAUAGGCAGGUCUGAUACUGGUUUCACUAUUUUUCUACUUCACGUUCCAUGAGAUUCUUUCAUCCAAGCACUUGUAUUAAAAUUCUACUGUAAGCGUUUAUGGUUCACUUUUUUUUUUCUUUGCAGCACCCGUGACUUUUUUUUUCUUUAAAUCGGCAGUAAAUAUAGCUGAGUAAAAUUACCUUGGUUUUCUUCCUUCUUUUUUAACUGAAUUGUUUUUAUUAAUAAUUCUACUUGAUUACGCAGAAAAAGUGGGUAUGUCCUGUAAUCUGUCCUAGCUUUUCUUGUUUAUGGUGUACUCCCUUGGAGUCCCACAAAAACAUUCUGGGUGCAAAGGUAUGUGUUUACAUAUAAGUGAUCAGUUUAGAUAUUUGUCUGUGUACCUUUUCCUGUAAUUCAGAGCUUGCGUUCUGUGUUUUUUAUGAUAAACCUAUGAGACAUGUAAAAAUGGUUUUGCAAGUCUGAAUCGUUGAAGGCAGCAAUAAGUGGAUUUAGAGCCUGUUGUUGACCAGACAAAGGGAAAAAGUGUGACUUUGUUGCUGAACUUGUCAUUUUUCAUUUGACUUGCCUUGAAUUAUUGAAGAAGAGAGAGAACUAGGAAAAGAGAGAAAUAGAAUUGGUUAUUGAGCACUCCUAAAAAGCUCACUGUGAUUCUGUGUAGAGCCAAAGUGAAGGGUGAUGGAGCAGAGCUCUGUGCAUUAGAAGGAAAUAAACCUGAUCUCCACACAGAGUCUUACUAAUUUCUGUUUUUAAAAUGCAAAAUAAGUUUAGGAAGUGUUGCAAGUUAGUAUCUGGGGAAAGAAAUGGCAGUUCCACAAAACAUUCCAUUUAAGAGAGGCCCUUGGAAUGAUUCAUUUUGUAACCACUGUCACUGCAGUCGGUUGGUGGUUCAGCCUUGAAAUGUGUUCGUGCCCUUCUAUAAAGCACUGUUUCGUUUGCCUUUCAGUGCUAUGAGUCUUGAUAAAUUGGAGAAGCGCCCAAGAGAAAUUCAUCCUCCUGCGAUACAAAAGGAUUUAUUGGUCCAUGAAGAGCAAGAGCUCCUGGUCGGCUAAUGAGCGAAUGUCUGCGUGCCCUCUGUCAUGGAGCCAUUUCUCCACACUAUACUAUCAAAGUUUAAAGGGAUCGGUGAAUUUUAACUCUGCAGUCCUCUAUGCUAAGGAUGGUCAGCUUACAGAUGAUUAAAUGUUCAGUAAUGUAUUUGCUGGAGCUGUGCUUACCCAAGCUUUGGGUAAAACAAGCUUUGGGUUCCUUCUGUCCCACUGUGAGUUGCCCUGUUUGGUUGCAUCUGGUGAAAUUCACCCUGAGACCUUACAGAACUAGCUCCAACUACGUGAGAGCCAUUUGCAGUUCUCUCCAGACACCUGGAGAAUGGGUGACGCUUCUGAGGAUCUGGCAAGUGGAGUUAUCCAAAAAGAUACAAAGACUAAAAAAAUCAUAAGCAAAUAUGUCUGCAGAGAAAACAAACUGGAGAGAACAAAAGGUGAUAUUGUUAUCCUUAUCCUGUAUUAGAAACAUCCACUGUGCUGUGCUUUGGUGCUGGUAGCUGCCAGGGGCUUCCUUGGUCUGUUUAGGGAGGUGUAGGUGUUCACUUGUAGGUUUUUUUCUCUGGACAAGUCAAUUCAAACUUUGCUAAGCUUACAUUUGAAAACUACUCCCUAGAACAGUCCAGCAUGACAUGCUGGAUGCCGUCUCCCAGAGGGACCCAAAACUGCCAGAAAUUUCACAGGGAGGGGUGGGUGUAGAAUACUAAAACCUGUUAAGUUUUUCAUUUUUAUAGGUAUUGGCAAAGAAAAAGAAUUUAUCUCUAAAUUCAUUUGGAAAGAAACCCUCACUCUAUCCACUCAUUUGUUUACAGAAAUGUAGGAAACUCUGACUAGAGAUGGGUAACAGUUUUGAAAAUAAAGACAUAAGCUUUAUCUAGGAAUGAACCAAUCAAGCGCCCUGAAAGCAUAAGAACAGCUGCAGGGGCUGAAGGGAAUAGAAAGGGUUCUCUGGCAGCUUUUGCCUCAGUUCUCUGCCUGCCCCCAAUGUUCGUCGCAGCCCCGGCCUGAGCUCAGCGGCACAGCUGCUGCAAUGUGGACAGAGAGCGGUACUGCCGCCCCCUAACCCAGUGCCAGUUUUCCUUCCAGUUGUAGAACUGCAAACAUCGCAGUAUUCCUCUGACACCAGCGGUUCUAGGAAGUAGAGGUGUAGGUGGCCUUGGCCUCCCACAGGUCCUCAUGUCAACUUACUCUGAAACAUUAGGGUGGAAGUUACUCUAUCUCAUGAACAGAGGUACCUUUUCCUUACAGGUGCUUGUGCUGUAGUUUGGAUUCUGCUUCCUAACAUUUCUAGUGUGACAGGGUUUACCAUAGAGACAAUCUGCCAGGAGGUAGCGCUUUGGGGGGUAUGGCAGUCCCGGGUGUGUAUUCUGAACUCCUUCAGAAUGUUAGGGUUGAAGUAUUUCUUAUCUCAGGAAAACAGCAAUCUUUUGCAUCUGCAUAUCAGCUGUUGAAAUUUUGGGUUCAAUUUCUUGAAUCACAAAUGUCAUAGGAUUCCUCCCAGAUGGCAGCUGCCAUGAAGUAUGGCUCUUCUUGGUCUUGGGUUUCAGGGGCUGUUUCCAAAGUGACCUACAGACAUUGGAAUGAAAUCAUUAUUUACUUCGUAAAGGAAUCGCUCUCCAAAGCAUCAGCCAGGGUCUAAAUGUGCCAUUCUGCCUUUUAAAAGUACCAACAUCACAGGAUUUUUCUCAGAUUAAAGCUUCCAUGGAGUCGGAUCUCUCAAGCCUGGCCCUUGAGAAUUGUGGGCCUCCUGUGAACUGGUCUUGCCAGAAGGGCUUGCUGAGUUUUCCACUGUGUGGAAAAGAGAUCCCAUUUGGAGCCUGAAGCCUCGUGUUUCCUGUAGGAUUUCCACUCCUAGAAUUGCACACUUUGAAGGAUUUCUUAUAGCAGAAGAUUUCUGGGAACUAGGACUCUGGCUGGAUUUGGGUCUCUGGACUCUGAGGUGAAGUGACCUCGAGACACUAGGGCAUGCAGAUUUCCUUGCUGUUGAAAAGAGCCAUUGUUCGCACCCAGGAGCCAUGGUCUGAAUGGGGAUGUCACCUCUUAAAUUUGCAAAUGUCACAGGAUUUCUUCUAAAUUAAUGGUGCUAAGAACAUAAGGUCUGGCUGGCUUUCGACUUAGAGGCGCCUCCUCUAAAUUGGUCUUCAGACGCUAGGUUGGAAAGUGUUCCUACAUAUGCCAAAUAGCCCUUGCUAUGCAGUUAAUAAGCUUCAAAGUACCAUGGAGUUGCUGCCCCUGCAAAGAUUUUGGCAGAGCCUGGUUGUGGUGCCCCAUUCCACUCCACCCCCCUUAGCAGGUCCUUGUGGUUGUAUGGGGAAUCAUCGUGGAGCAUGCCAACCCAGCUCCAUCCUGGGAACAGCACCUGUAUUUUACCCUAAAAUUUCUGUCCCAUUAUAGCUCCUGUUAGGAUACAAAUGUAACUCAGUUUCCACUGAUUUUACCCCCAGUCAUCUUUCCAUACAAACAUUGCUCCACUCUCCAGAGGAUUAUUGUGAGCAGAUGUGAGCUCUGCUGUCCCUUUGGACUGACAGAGGUUUUGUCCCAAGUUGCUUUGGAACCUGUCCUGCACAUGUUACGAGUCCUCAGUCUCCUGCAAUUUUGUGGGUCAGUCACAUGUAAAACAGCACAGCUGGCUGGCAUGCUUUGCUUAUGAGGGGAGACAAGAGAAGAAUCCCUCUGCUCACACCAGACCUACAGCUGCCAAACCUCACCAAAGCACCUGAGGAGCCCCCAGGGACUGAUGGUACAGAAGGGAGGUGAUGGAGGACAGCAGAGCAGGCAGCCUGCCCUCCAUCUGGGUGUGAAGAAGGCAGGGCUGGGAACUGUAAGCAACAUCCCAGCAGGUCCGGCUGAUGGUGCCACCCUGAGGGCUUCUCCUGCCUUUGGGCAGUCCCAGCUGCUGCAGCUCACUUGACAGAGACUCAUUGUCUAUACUGUGCUUGGCUGCACUGGAGAUGAUGAAGCCGAGGACAGCAAUGGUUGCCUUCACAUCCCCUGACUGCAGAUGGGAAGGAGGGUGAGCUCUGUCACCGUGGGAAGGCAUCUGCAGAUUCAUUGCUGCCCGUUUCUGGAGCAUGGCUCCAUCGGGGGAUCGUGGUAAGGACAGCAGUGCUCACCUAACUGUGCACCUGAGGACAGCUUCAGGAUCUUGUCAUACUGUGGGAGAGCAGAGCUUCACAGUAAAUACCAGCUAACAUACUUACUACCAGUGUUAACACUAACAAUUCUUAUCUAUAUUAAUACUAGUAACACUUACUAUGCGUAUUAUUAAUCCUAUUAGAGGCUGGUAGUGUUCUUAAUGCUGAGGCUUGUGAGAAGAACACAGAAUUAAUUAAUGAUGCUGAUUAUGCUAUUGUGGUGUUGAAAUACUUGGCCUGCACUGUGGUAGCCCCACACUUACCUCGAUGGCCUGCCCCAGCAGAUCCCAAAACACCUGGAUGCAGAUCAGCUUAAGCUUCACUGAUGUGAUAAACAGAGUUCGUUCUUUAAAAUUUUUAAAAGUUUAUUAAAGGAUAAAAGGACAAAAUAAUCCAGCACUGGGAUGCUUUUAGCACACAGCCAAAGAGCACAGAGGUAGCUUAAAAACAUGUUCACUAUAUACUGUUACAUUGCUGAGGUUACAUGCAUAUUCAUUAACUUACACAUUAUUCAAACAUUCCUUUGACUUUUUGAUGUUCCAGGAACUCUCUUGUUUAGUUUUAACCUCUGACUUGUCUGCAGAACGUUCUGUAAAUGAGGUCUACACAUUUUAUUUCUUCCUGUAGUUUUAUCCUGUUGCUUCACACUCCCUGAUAAUACCGAUAAGAGUCGAUAAAUGCUUCCUGGAUGCUUAAGCUCUUUUUGUCACUAUUAUCACUUGGUAGGGGCAGUCUGCAGUUAGGAGAAACAGAAUAAUUGCUUUACACCAUUUUCUGAGUUAGUUACAUAGAAGUACUUUAGUUUCUAUUUCAACAUUUUGCUAAAGCCUAUAAUAUAUUUAUCACGCUACUAUUCAUAUGAAAUAUACAAUGCAUACAUAAACUGGCAUAUUACACUAUACAAAGCAGUUAAAAGUAAGUAUAAGUUUUACCAUAUCAAAAUACUUGUAAUGCAAAAAGCUAAUCUAUGAAUGUGAAAGCCAA